UUCCGGUUGAUCCUGCCGGACCUGACUGCUAUCGGAUUGAUACUAAGCCAUGCGUGUCUUUGUAGCAAUACAAGGCAGACGGCUCAGUAACACGUAGUCAAUCUACCCUAUAGACGGGAAUAACCUCGGGAAACUGAGAAUAAUACCCGAUAGGUCAUUAUGCCUGGAAUGGUUUAUGGCUCAAAUGAUUUUUCGCUGUAGGAUGGGACUGCGGUCUAUCAGCUUGUUGGUGAGGUAAUGGCCCACCAAGGCUAUAACAGAUACGGGCUCUGAGAGGAGAAGCCCGGAGAUGGGUACUGAGACACGGACCCAGGCCCUAUGGGGCGCAGCAGGCGAGAAAACUUUGCAAUGUGCGAAAGCACGACAAGGUUAAUCCGAGUGUUUUCUGCUAAAGAAAUCUUUUAUCAGUCCUAAAAACACUGAUGAAUAAGGGGUGGGCAAGUUCUGGUGUCAGCCGCCGCGGUAAAACCAGCACCUCAAGUGGUCAGGAGGAUUAUUGGGCCUAAAGCAUCCGUAGCCUGCUUUGUAAGUUUUCAGUUAAAUCCAUAUGCUCAACAUAUGGGCUGCCGGGAAUACUGCAAAGCUAGGGAGUGGGAGAGGUAGACGGUACUCGGUAGGAAGGGGUAAAAUCCUUUGAUCUAUUGAUGACCACCUGUGGCGAAGGCGGUCUACCAGAACACGUCCGACGGUGAGGGAUGAAAGCUGGGGGAGCAAACCGGAUUAGAUACCCGGGUAGUCCCAGCUGUAAACCAUGCAAACUCAGUGAUGCGUUGGCUUGUAGCCAGUGCAGUGCCGCAGGGAAGCCGUUAAGUUUGCCGCCUGGGAAGUACGUACGCAAGUAUGAAACUUAAAGGAAUUGGCGGGGGAGCACCACAAGGGGUGAAGCCUGCGGUUCAAUUGGACUCAACGCCGGA
rnacentral:rRNA from 1 species